UCUGCAAAACUACGAGAACAUUCUGAUUUUCUUUGAUGAUGAGAAGGUGCCAAAAAUUAGUGUAUCUCAGGCAAUUAAAAGCUGCCCGCUCCUUUUGGGGUUAUCAGUUAACAAGCUGAAAUUGGUGGUGGAACAGUUGGGUGACUUCGGCAUUCGAAACCAGAAGUUGGGUAAGGUGAUUGCUACAAGUCCUCAGUUAUUACUACAGAAGCCUCAGGAAUUCCAUCAGAUAGUGUGCUUCUUAAGGGAUCUAGGCCUGGAUGAUGAUAUUAUUGGUAGGAUUCUUGGUCGCUGUCCUGAAAUUUUUGCAUCGAGCAUCGGGAGAACUCUUAAGAGAAAACUCAACUUCCUAAUGGGUAUUGGAGUUUCCAGAAGUCAUCUUCCCAGGAUUAUCAGGAAAUAUCCCGAGUUUUUUGUAUGUGAUAUCCACAGAGCUUUACGUCCAAGAAUGAUGUACUUGAUGCAUGUUGGGCG
rnacentral:misc_RNA from 1 species